rnacentral:rRNA from 1 species
GACGAACGCUGGCGGCGUGCCUAAUACAUGCAAGUUGAGCGCUGAAGGUUGGUACUUGUACCAACUGGAUGAGCAGCGAACGGGUGAGUAACGCGUGGGGAAUCUGCCUUUGAGCGGGGGACAACAUUUGGAAACGAAUGCUAAUACCGCAUAAAAACUUUAAACACAAGUUUUAAGUUUGAAAGAUGCAAUUGCAUCACUCAAAGAUGAUCCCGCGUUGUAUUAGCUAGUUGGUGGGGUAAAGGCUCACCAAGGCGAUGAUACAUAGCCGACCUGAGAGGGUGAUCGGCCACAUUGGGACUGAGACACGGCCCAAACUCCUACGGGAGGCAGCAGUAGGGAAUCUUCGGCAAUGGACGAAAGUCUGACCGAGCAACGCCGCGUGAGUGAAGAAGGUUUUCGGAUCGUAAAACUCUGUUGGUAGAGAAGAACGUUGGUGAGAGUGGAAAGCUCAUCAAGUGACGGUAACUACCCAGAAAGGGACGGCUAACUACGU